rnacentral:rRNA from 1 species
GAUGAACGCUGGCGGCGCGCCUAACACAUGCAAGUCGAACGGCACCCCUCCUCGGAGGGAAGCGAGUGGCGAACGGCUGAGUAACACGUGGAGAACCUGCCCCCUCCCCCGGGUUAGCCGCCCGAAAGGACGGGUAAUACCGGAUACCCCGGGGUGCCGCCUGGCACCCCGGCUAAAGCCCCGACGGGAGGGGAUGGCUCCGCGGCCCAUCAGGUAGACGGCUGGGUGACGGCCCACCGUGCCGACAACGGGUAGCCGGGUUGAGAGACCGACCGGCCAGAGUGGGACUGAGACACGGCCCAGACUCCUACGGGAGGCAGCAGUGGGGAAUCUUGCGCAAUGGGGGGAACCCUGACGCAGCGACGCCGCGUGCGGGACGGAGGCCUUCGGGUCGUAAACCGCUUUCAGCAGGGAAGAGUCAAGACUGUACCUGCAGAAGAAGCCCCGGCUAACUACGU